rnacentral:rRNA from 1 species
CAAUAGCGUAUAUUAAAGUUGUUGCAGUUAAAAAGCUCGUAGUUGGAUUUCUGGUUGAAGCGACCGGUCGGGCGUUGAUUCGUCUGCACUGGAGUCGGUUUUGGCCAUCCUCUAGGAAAGUGCGUCUGGUAUUAAGUUAUCGGGCGUAUGAUCCUGGUCUUUUACUGUGAAAAAAUUAGAGUGUUUAAAGCAGGCCUUCGCCUUGAAUACAUUAGCAUGGAAUAAUAAGAUAGGACUUUGGUCUAUUUUGUUGGUUUGCAGACCGAAGUAAUGAUUAAUAGGGAUAGUUGGGGGUAUUUAUAUUCCGAUGUCAGAGGUGAAAUUCUUAGAUUUUCGGAAGAUAAACUUAUGCGAAAGCAUUUACCAAGGAUGUUUNCGUUAA